rnacentral:rRNA from 1 species
GGCAAUGAUGCAUAGCCGAGUUGAGAGACUGAUCGGCCACAUUGGGACUGAGACACGGCCCAAACUCCUACGGGAGGCAGCAGUAGGGAAUCUUCCACAAUGGACGAAAGUCUGAUGGAGCAACGCCGCGUGAGUGAAGAAGGGUUUCGGCUCGUAAAGCUCUGUUGGUAGUGAAGAAAGAUAGAGGUAGUAACUGGCCUUUAUUUGACGGUAAUUACUUAGAAAGUCACGGCUAACUACGUGCCAGCAGCCGCGGUAAUACGUAGGUGGCAAGCGUUGUCCGGAUUUAUUGGGCGUAAAGCGAGUGCAGGCGGUUCAAUAAGUCUGAUGUGAAAGCCUUCGGCUCAACCGGAGAAUUGCAUCAGAAACUGUUGAACUUGAGUGCAGAAGAGGAGAGUGGAACUCCAUGUGUAGCGGUGGAAUGCGUAGAUAUAUGGAAGAACACCAGUGGCGAAGGCGGCUCUCUGGUCUGCAACUGACGCUGAGGCUCGAAAGCAUGGGUAGCGAACAGGAUUAGAUACCCUGGUAGU